AACGUAGGAGGCAAGCGUUAUCCGGAGUUACUGGGCGUAAAGCGUGCGUAGGCGGGUCGGUAAGUGGGUGGUGAAAGCGCCGGGCUAAACCGGGCGAGGUCCAUUCAGACUGCCAACCUAGAGGCGGAUAGAGGGGUGCGGAAUUCCGGGUAUAGCGGUGAAAUGUGUAGAGAUCCGGAGGAACACCAGUGGUGCAAACGGCGCCCUGGGUCCGAACUGACGCUGAGGCACGAAAGCGUGGGGAGCGAAC
rnacentral:rRNA from 1 species